rnacentral:rRNA from 1 species
CUUGAACGCUGGCGGCAGGCCUAACACAUGCAAGUCGAACGAGAGGCGGACGGGUGAGUAAUGUCUGGGAAACUGCCCGAGGGAGGGGGAUAACUACUGGAAACGGUAGAUAAUACCGCAUACACUCGGAUGGGCCCCGAGUGUAUUAGCUAGUAGGUGGGGUAACGGCUCACCUAGGAGACGAGCCCUAGCUGGUCUGAGAGGCGGACCAGCCACACUGGGACGGAGACACGGUCCAGACUCAGACGGGAGGCAGCAGUGGGGAAUAUUGCACAAUGGGCGCAAGCCUGAUGCAGCCAUGCCGCGUGUAUGAAGAAGUCCUUAGGGUUGUAAAGUACUGUCAUCGGGGAGGCGUUAUUCGCAGAAGAAGCACCGGCUAACUCCGUGCCAGCAGCCGCGGUAAUAC